GGGCCCAUAGCUCAAUCGGUCAGAGCGUCCGUCUCAUAAACGGGUGGUUCCUGGUUCGAACCCAGGUGGGCCUA
rnacentral:tRNA from 2 species